UACGGAGGAUGCGAGCGUUAUCCGGAUUUAUUGGGUUUAAAGGGUGCGCAGGCGGCGUGUCAAGUCAGCGGUAAAAUGUCGGGGCUCAACCCCGGCCGGCCGUUGAAACUGGCGUGCUCGAGUUGGAGAGAAGUAUGCGGAAUUCGUGGUGUAGCGGUGAAAUGCAUAGAUAUCACGAAGAACCCCGAUUGCGAAGGCAGCAUACCGGCUCCACACUGACGCUGAGGCACGGAAGCGUGGGUAUCGAACAGG
rnacentral:rRNA from 1 species